AGAGGGAUGGCUUAUACACAAGUGCCCCAAAGCCGAGAAACAUUAUGUUAUCGUGAAUCAAGUGCCAUGCAGAUACAAACAGCCCUUGCUGCCCGCCCGAUUAAAAGGCACAAGCAAACACCCCUAAUGAUUUUGAAGAAGGAUUGGAAAGAAAAGAAGAUUCAAACGAUGAUUCAGAUGGUGAUAUGGUUGAAGAGUAAAAGGUUGUGGAAGGUCGUGAAAAGUUGCCGGAUGACCCAGAGGUCCCUCCUAUGACAUCGGAAGGUCCGUCGACCAAACGCCGCAGCUCUUCUCCUUCCGAACGGUCCACCACAGCCGACAAAGCUAAGAACGGGAGGACUACCAAGACACUGAGGAAGGGCAAAAUGAACCAGUUUGAAGAAGAAGAGUUGAGCCUGCUGAAAAAACUUACAAACCCUUGUAAGACACCUGCAAAACUUAAUCAAGACAUGGACGAAAUGGACUCUUUCUGUCGCCAUCUCUCCUUCAGACUCAAAAGGCUGGAUAGGCGUGGUCAGAUGAUGGCAGUACACAAAAUCGAAAAUGUCGAGUUUGACAUCGAGUAUAGUGGUUUGUGUGCAGGCAUUGUUUUGAUCAUCCCACUCCACAAAGCAGUGGGAUGCUUCCAUGUGACGAAGCUGGUUUGUCUCCGUUUCGUCUUGUCUCUCUGUCCUUGGUUGUGACGUUAGUGUGAUUCACGUCGGGCAGAUGGCACCACUGUUCUAGGUCAAGCGCCGCCAUCUCUCAACCAGUGAACACGUAGAUUUUCUUGUCUCCAAACUUCUGUAAAUUUCUCUAUACAUU